CCGGGAACACGUCCAGGUUGACCUCCACGUAGGGCAGGCCGGACUGCCGGAAGAAUGCGCGCACGGCGGCGCAGUCGCGGCAGCCCGAGCGGGAGAAGAAGCUGACCCGGCCUUUGAUGCGGCCGCCCGAGAAGGUGUACCCGACGUCGUAGGUGUCGGUGUCGGUGUCGUCGGCGGCGGCGAUCGCGUCCUUGAGGCGCACCGUGACCUUGACGUUGGGCAGGUGGAUCUCCUGCACGCCGUAGGCGCCGGCCUUCGCCGCCGAGGUCGACUCCUUGAGCGACGAGAUGCGGCGGGUUAUGGCCGACGACAGCACGUCGCGGCGGUCGCGGAAGAACCGCCCGAUGGACUCCACGUCCACGACCGCCGUGGAGGCCGAGUUCGCGGAGGCCGACCGCUCGACGGGCCUCUUGCUCUCCCGCUCCUCGUCCUCGCCAUCCCCUUGUGCCGCGUACUCGUGCGGCGCCGCCGGCGUGGACCGCGCCCUGGCCAGCCCCGGCGGCGCCUCUGGCUGCGGGAGGUGCGGCGGCGGCCGCAGCACCGCGCCCUGGAGCAUCUUGCGCGCGUAGUAUACGUCCCCCUCCUCGCCGCCGAGCCCGUGCGGGGUCACCGACCGCGGCUGGACUUGCGGCGGCCCGGCGACGCCCUCUGCGGGACGACGAUGGUCCCCUUCCUCCCCCUUAUCCGCAGCAACUGGCCCCGACGGUGGCUGUGGCGGCGUGGGGGCGUGGUGGUGGGGGAGCGCGGGCGGCAUGGCAACGAGGGUCUCUUCUCCCAUGGCGCGCGCGCGCUCUCUCUCUCUCUCUCUCUCGCACGCGUGGGGCGGGGGCCUGCCGGGGCGGUCCGGGUUUACGAUUACUACGAAGCGAAGGAGGAGGAGGGGAGAGGAGGAGAGGGACCCGAGCGCGACGGAACGGGAGGGGGGCACCGGGUAACUGGAUUUGGG
rnacentral:misc_RNA from 1 species